rnacentral:RNase_MRP_RNA from 1 species
CUCUCGCCCAACAAAUCGCUAUCGAAGCUAUACACAGAGACUGCGUAUUCCGUCGUCUCACCAUCCAGCUUUGGGAGAAAGUCCCCGGACACCUCUGCCUCGGCCCCUUUCCCUCGGGAAAAGGGACGGGGAAGGAGACUGCGGAAACGCGCCGCCAUAGAAGCACAGCGGCUCACGUCCACCUCGCGUUUGUCCUCCUGGUAACGCCAGUCGUGCCUUCCGCAUCCGCCCCUCCUGCCCGGGCCGAGCUCCGGGCUCGGCUUCGUAAGAAAAUCAAGGCCUGCCCCCCUUGCGGUGCCUGGCGAGUCAGUGGUUCUGCUCCGGCUUUCCCGCUGGUCCGGGGUCCCCCAUGGACGAAGAUAUGAGUCCGCGACCCCUAGGCUUGGGAUUGCCGGGCGUUCCUUUGAUUUGCCGUCGUGCCCGUCUGGCGGCGGCUUUGAUGGCUAGGUUUGGCCGUGGAUCGGACACGCUGGGCUGGAGAACAUAGGAACGUGGGUAGAACACCCUUUUCGUCGAGUUUGAUAGUUAUGCGAUUGCCCGGCCUUGCCCGCUCGCCGGACAUGCCUGGUUACUCGAUGGGGCUUAUUCUUGGUGCGAGA